UGAGGAAUAUUGGUCAAUGGGCGCAAGCCUGAACCAGCCAUCCCGCGUGCAGGAAGACGGCCCUAUGGGUUGUAAACUGCUUUUCCAGGGGGAGAAUUUUUCUGUCGUGACAGGAAUUGACGGUACCCUGGGAAUAAGCAUCGGCUAACUCCGUGCCAGCAGCCGCGGUAAUACGGAGGAUGCGAGCGUUAUCCGGUUUUAUUGGGUUUAAAGGGUGCGUAGGCGGAUUGAUAAGUCAGUGGUGAAAACCUGCAGCUUAACUGUAGACUUGCCGUUGAUACUGUCAGUCUUGAGUGUGGUCAAGGUAGGCGGAAUGUGUGAUGUAGCGGUGAAAUGCUUAGAUAUUACACAGAACACCGAGUGCGAAGGCAGCUUACUGGGCCAUUACUGACGCUGAUGCACGAAAGCGUGGGGAUCGAACAG
rnacentral:rRNA from 1 species